rnacentral:pre_miRNA from 1 species
AUUCUACUCCCUCCGUUGCACAAUACUACAUGCCCUCUAUUUGUCAAAAUAUAUAUGUAUCUAGACAUGUCUUAGUAUAUAGGUACAUCAUUUUUGGACAAAUGGAAGUCAAGUAUUUUGGAACGGAGGGAGUACACA